CUAUACAUGCAGUCGAGCGAACAGAUGAAGUGCUUGCACUUCUGACGUUAGCGGCGAACGGGUGAGUAACACGUAAGGAAUCUACCUAUAAGCGGGGGAUAACAUUCGGAAACGGGUGCUAAUACCGCAUAAUAUCUUCUUCCGCAUGGAAGAAGAUUGAAAGACGGCUCUGCUGUCACUUAUAGAUGACCUUGCGGUGCAUUAGUUAGUUGGUGGGGUAACGGCCUACCAAGACGAUGAUGCAUAGCCGACCUGAGAGGGUGAUCGGCCACAUUGGGACUGAGACACGGCCCAAACUCCUACGGGAGGCAGCAGUAGGGAAUCUUCCGCAAUGGGCGAAAGCCUGACGGAGCAAUGCCGCGUGAGUGAAGAAGGCCUUCGGGUCGUAAAACUCUGUUAUAAGAGAAGAACAAAUUGUAGAGUAACUGCUACAGUCUUGACGGUAUCUUAUCAGAAAGCCACGGCUAACUACGUGCCAGCAGCCGCGGUAAUACGUAGGUGGCAAGCGUUGUCCGGAUUUAUUGGGCGUAAAGGGAGCGCAGGUGGUUUCUUAAGUCUGAUGUGAAAGCCCACGGCUUAACCGUGGAGGGUCAUUGGAAACUGGGAAACUUGAGUACAGAAGAGGAAUGUGGAACUCCAUGUGUAGCGGUGGAAUGCGUAGAUAUAUGGAAGAACACCAGUGGCGAAGGCGACAUUCUGGUCUGUUACUGACACUGAGGCUCGAAAGCGUGGGGAGCAAACAGGAUUAGAUACCCUGGUAGUCCACGCCGUAAACGAUGAGUGCUAGGUG
rnacentral:rRNA from 1 species